UGGGAGUACACAGGACUACUGAGGGA
rnacentral:piRNA from 1 species